ACGCUGGCGGCGUGCCUAAUACAUGCAAGUAGAACGCUGAAGAGAGGAGCUUGCUCUUCUUGGAUGAGUUGCGAACGGGUGAGUAACGCGUAGGUAACCUGCCUUGUAGCGGGGGAUAACUAUUGGAAACGAUAGCUAAUACCGCAUAACAAUAGGUGACACAUGUCAUUUAUUUGAAAGGGGCAAUUGCUCCACUACAAGAUGGACCUGCGUUGUAUUAGCUAGUAGGUGAGGUAACGGCUCACCUAGGCGACGAUACAUAGCCGACCUGAGAGGGUGAUCGGCCACACUGGGACUGAGACACGGCCCAGACUCCUACGGGAGGCAGCAGUAGGGAAUCUUCGGCAAUGGGGGCAACCCUGACCGAGCAACGCCGCGUGAGUGAAGAAGGUUUUCGGAUCGUAAAGCUCUGUUGUAAGUCAAGAACGAGUGUGAGAGUGGAAAGUUCACACUGUGACGGUAGCUUACCAGAAGGGGACGGCUAACUACGUGCCAGCAGCCGCGGUAAUACGUAGGUCCCGAGCGUUGUCCGGAUUUAUUGGGCGUAAAGCGAGCGCAGGCGGUUUGAUAAGUCUGAAGUUAAAGGCUGUGGCUCAACCAUAGUUCGCUUUGGAAACUGUCAAACUUGAGUGCAGAAGGGGAGAGUGGAAUUCCAUGUGUAGCGGUGAAAUGCGUAGACAUAUGGAGGAACACCGGUGGCGAAAGCGGCUCUCUGGUCUGUAACUGACGCUGAGGCUCGAAAGCGUGGGGAGCGAACAGGAUUAGAUACCCUGGUAGUCCACGCCGUAAACGAUGAGUGCUAGGUGUUGGAUCCUUUCCGGGAUUCAGUGCCGCAGCUAACGCAUUAAGCACUCCGCCUGGGGAGUACGACCGCAAGGUUGAAACUCAAAGGAAUUGACGGG
rnacentral:rRNA from 1 species